AAGUCGUAACAAGGUUUCCGUAGGUGAACCUGCGGAAGGAUCAUUAACACGUAUCCACGUAUUCACCCCAGUGAACUCGUUUUCAAUCUCUCCCUUGGAUCUCAUCAUGAAGUGCUUGCGACUCGCCUCUGCGCUGAUUCGAGGAAUCUACAUUCACGUGUGGUUCCUUCAGAGGGGUUUCGAUCGGGAGCUUGCUCCGCACUUGUAGAUGAGCCCAAGGCUAACAGUCUCAUCUCUCCGAGCACACAUCAGCGCUUGGAGAGUAUGAGCAUACUAAUUCACCCCUUUCACCCCCUUUUUGCUAGUUGACUUUUUUAUAUGUGGCGCUGUCCUUGUCAUUCAUUUGACGAGCAGUUCACACGUUUAAUUACUUGAACGUUAAAAAUACAACUCUUAGCAAUGGAUAUCUUGGUUCUC
rnacentral:misc_RNA from 1 species